UACAUGGGGUGCAAACGUUGCUCGGAAUCAUUGGGCGUAAAGCGCGCGUAGGCGGUUACUUAAGUCGAAUGUGAAAGCCCUCGGCUUAACUGAGGAAGUGCAUCCGAAACUGAGUAGCUAGAGUACGAAAGAGGGUCGCGGAAUUCCCGGUGUAGAGGUGAAAUUCGUAGAUAUCGGGAGGAACACCGGUGGCGAAGGCGGCGACCUGGGUCGAUACUGACGCUGAGGUGCGAAAGCGUGGGGAGCAAACAGG
rnacentral:rRNA from 1 species